rnacentral:tRNA from 1 species
UUAAUUGAAGCCAAAAUUGAGGCGUAUCACUGUUAAUGAUAUCAUUGAAUUAUCCGUUCCAAUUAAG